rnacentral:rRNA from 1 species
UACAGAGGGUGCGAGCGUUAAUCGGAAUUACUGGGCGUAAAGCGCACGUAGGUGGCGACGUAAGUCGGGUGUGAAAGCCCCGGGCUCAACCUGGGAAUUGCAUUCGAGACUGCAUUGCUGGAGUACGGAAGAGGAAGGCGGAAUUCCCGGUGUAGCGGUGAAAUGCGUAGAUAUCGGGAGGAACAUCAGUGGCGAAGGUGGCCUUCUGGUCCAGUACUGACACUCAAGUGCGAAAGCGUGGGGAGCAAACAGG